rnacentral:tRNA from 1 species
GCGGGCGUGGCGGAAUGGUAGACGCAUGGGACUUAAACUCCCUGGGCCCUAGGCCGUGCGGGUUCAAGUCCCGCCGCCCGCACCA